ACGUAGGUGGCAAGCGUUAUCCGGAUUUACUGGGUGUAAAGGGCGAGUAGGCGGGAUUGCAAGUCAGAUGUGAAAACUAUGGGCUCAACCCAUAGACUGCAUUUGAAACUGUAAUUCUUGAGUGAUGGAGAGGCAGGCGGAAUUCCCGGUGUAGCGGUGGAAUGCGUAGAUAUCGGGAGGAACACCAGUGGCGAAGGCGGCCUGCUGGACAUUAACUGACGCUGAGGCGCGAAAGCGUGGGGAGCAAACAG
rnacentral:rRNA from 1 species